GCAACCUGCCUUUAUCUGGGGGAUAGCCUUUCGAAAGGAAGAUUAAUACCCCAUAAUAUAUUGAGUGGCAUCACUUGAUAUUGAAAACUCCGGUGGAUAGAGAUGGGCACGCGCAAGAUUAGAUAGUUGGUGAGGUAACGGCUCACCAAGUCAAUGAUCUUUAGGGGGCCUGAGAGGGUGAUCCCCCACACUGGUACUGAGACACGGACCAGACUCCUACGGGAGGCAGCAGUGAGGAAUAUUGGACAAUGGGUGAGAGCCUGAUCCAGCCAUCCCGCGUGAAGGACGACUGCCCUAUGGGUUGUAAACUUCUUUUAUACUGGGAUAAACCUACCCUUCGUGAGGGUAGCUGAAGGUACAGUAUGAAUAAGCACCGGCUAACUCCGUGCCAGCAGCCGCGGUAAUACGGAGGGUGCAAGCGUUAUCCGGAUUUAUUGGGUUUAAAGGGUCCGUAGGCGGACUCGUAAGUCAGUGGUGAAAUCUCAUAGCUUAACUAUGAAACUGCCAUUGAUACUGCGGGUCUUGAGUAAAGUAGAAGUGGCUGGAAUAAGUAGUGUAGCGGUGAAAUGCAUAGAUAUUACUUAGAACACCAAUUGCGAAGGCAGGUCACUAUGUUUUAACUGACGCUGAUGGACGAAAGCGUGGGGAGCGAACAGGAUUAGAUACCCUGGUAGUCCACGCCGUAAACGAUGCUAACUCGUUUUUGGGUUUUCGGAUUCAGAGACUAAGCGAAAGUGAUAAGUUAGCCACCUGGGGAGUACGUUCGCAAGAAUGAAACUCAAAGGAAUUGACGGGGGCCCGCACAAGCGGUGGAUUAUGUGGUUUAAUUCGAUGAUACGCGAGGAACCUUACCAAGGCUUAAAUGGGAAUUGACAGGUUUAGAAAUAGAUCCUUCUUCGGACAAUUUUCAAGGUGCUGCAUGGUUGUCGUCAGCUCGUGCCGUGAGGUGUUAGGUUAAGUCCUGCAACGAGCGCAACCCCUGUCACUAGUUGCCAUCAUUCAGUUGGGGACUCUAGUGAGACUGCCUACGCAAGUAGAGAGGAAGGUGGGGAUGACGUCAAAUCAUCACGGCCCUUACGCCUUGGGCCACACACGUAAUACAAUGGCCGGUACAGAGGGCAGCUACUAUGCGAAUAGAUGCGAAUCUCGAAAGCCG
rnacentral:rRNA from 1 species